rnacentral:rRNA from 1 species
CACACGACUCUCGGCAACGGAUAUCUCGGCUCUCGCAUCGAUGAAGAACGUAGCGAAAUGCGAUACCUGGUGUGAAUUGCAGAAUCCCGCUAACCAUCGAGUCUUUGAACGCAAGUUGCGCCCGAGGCCAUUCGGCCGAGGGCACGCCUGCCUGGGCGUCACGC